UACGUAGGCAGCGAGCGUUGUUCGGAGUUACUGGGCGUAAAGCGUGCGUAGGCGGUGUCCUAAGUCUGUUGUGAAAUCUCCCGGCUUAACCGGGAGGGUGCGGCGGAAACUGGGAUGCUGGAGUGCGGGAGAGGUAAGCGGAAUUCCCGGUGUAGCGGUGAAGUGCGUAGAUAUCGGGAGGAACACCUGCGAUGUAGAUGGCUUACUGGACCGUAACUGACGCUGAGGCACGAAAGCGUGGGUAGCAAACAGG
rnacentral:rRNA from 1 species